rnacentral:lncRNA from 1 species
ACUGGAAAAACAGCUUAAGCUUUCAGUGAAGUAUAUGGUGAUAGAUUUGGAGUCUGACUUUUGGGGCUAUGUCUACUUAGGUGUCUUGGACAAGCAGGAUAAUUAUGGACCUGGCUUCUGAAGUCAUACUUCGUGGAUCUGAGUUGGUUCUGUCAUUGGGAUGUGAAGGAAUAAAGAGGGAGCCAAAAUUGAGGGAAUGGCCUACCAAUGACCUGCCCAACUGGAGACCCAUGCCAUGGACAAAAGCUAACCCCUGACACUAUCAUUGAUACUCUGCUAGACUUGCAGACAUGAUUCUAACAUAACUGUCCUCUGAGAGACUUCAUCCAGCAUUGAUGGAAACACAUGCAAAGAUCUACAGCCAAACAUUAGGUAGAACUUGAGGAAUCUUGUGGAAGAGAGGGAGGAAGGACUGAAAGACCCAGAGAGGUCAAGGAUACCACAAGAAAACCUACAAAAUAAUCCCAGCACCUGAACCAUCAACCAGAAAGCAUGAAUGGGAUGGACUUAGACCCUCUACACAUAUUUGACAGAUGUGCAGCUUGGUCUUCAUGUAGAAUCCCUAACUGCAGGAGCAGGGGCUGUCCCUGACUCUGAUGCCUGCCUUUGGAUCCUUUUUCCUAACUGGGCUGCCUUGAGUAGCCUCAACAGAAGAUGCACCCAGUCCUGUUGUAAUUUAGUAAGCCUAGGUCCUCAGAAGAAAUGGACUUGAGGAACAUCAUGGAAUACAACAUACACCUGGACCUGACUUAUUUUUUAUUCUAAAUUAUUUUAAUUAAUCAGUUUACUUAUUUAGUUAGUUUUGGGCCAGGGUCUUAUCUGUACACUUCAAGCUUGCCUUGGGUCCCAGUGUGGACCAGGCUGGUCACAAAAUGUUGAUCCUCCUGCCUCUACCUCCUGAAUGCUGGGAUUACAAAUAUGUGUCAGCAUGCUGGAGUAGACGAGUUAAGUGAUGAAAACCAAGGCUUUAUCCUAGUGUCAGACUGAAAUGAGGCCUUGGACACCCUUAGGACUGAGUGCAAUAAGGUCUGUCUAUAAAGGAUGCAGCCUUUUGUUCAUCAGGCGGGUUGCAUCUUCCAAGGAUUUUUCAGUCUUACCCACCUUAUUUAUUCUUACGCAGUGUGACCUGUCGACUCGCCAUCAAAAGCUAGAAUGCUGUUUCCAUCCCCUUGGACAUGGGGAGGCUCAUGACUGCUUUGACCAGAGGUAUAGUGGGUAGAAGUAAUGUUAUGCCACUUUACAAGUCUGGGUCAUAAAUGAUUCCGAUUUUUGCCUUAUUUUCUGGAAUAUUUGCACCUGAUACUGUGGAUCAUUGUUUGAGAAACCCAACUACCAGACACAGCCAAAUUCUUACAAACCCAAGUCCCAUGGGUACAGGGGCUUUAGUCAACAGGUCAAGCCCCAGACAGUUGUUACCCCCCUCACUGAGGGUGUGAACAUUCUGUGAUACACGCCAACUCCACUCUGCCCAUUCCCAAGAUCCAGGAUCCAUGAACUUCUGAAUCUGAAUCUUGAGGUAGUAAAUGGGCCAAAGUGGGUGACUGAUAAACCUCUGAAGAUUCAUUGGCUCUCUUCUCACAGCGAUAUGAAGAGACUUGGUAAUGAAUAAAAUAUGAGCUCCUGAGGAAGGCUUGUAAAGGCACUUUUAGCUGCUUGGUGGUUGUCUUGCUUCCCUGCUUAACUUUGAGAUAGUACAUCUGGUGCCUGUCUAAGCCCCCGACGCUGAUGCGCAGCUGUGUAUGAGUUUGUACUGCUUUAUUUCUUGUAUUUCAUUUGAUUGGCUUUGUGUUCUCUUAUGCCAUUAAAUAAAACUCAAUAAAUGUGAUUGUUUCAA